AGCGAACGCUGGCGGCAGGCUUAACACAUGCAAGUCGAACGGGCACUUCGGUGCUAGUGGCAGACGUGUGAGUAACACGUGGGAACGUACCUUUCGGUUCGGAAUAAUUCAGGGAAACUUGGACUAAUACCGGAUACGCCCUUCGGGGGAAAGAUUUAUCGCCGAUAGAUCGGCCCGCGUCUGAUUAGCUAGUUGGUGAGGUAAUGGCUCACCAAGGCGACGAUCAGUAGCUGGUCUGAGAGGAUGAUCAGCCACAUUGGGACUGAGACACGGCCCAAACUCCUACGGGAGGCAGCAGUGGGGAAUAUUGGACAAUGGGCGCAAGCCUGAUCCAGCCAUGCCGCGUGAGUGAUGAAGGCCUUAGGGUUGUAAAGCUCUUUUGUCCGGGAAGAUAAUGACUGUACCGGAAGAAUAAGCCCCG
rnacentral:rRNA from 1 species